CGUCAUUCCUGUAUUCGCUCGCGAAUAAUUUCAAACGCUCGCGUAUCAUUUAAUUAGCAUCAUUGUUGGUAUGCCCAACAGUUGGAAUCGUGUUCGUGCAUAUUUUUACUUAAUUAGUCACAUGGGUUAACCUGUUAUAUUGACAAUGUUUGUGUUCCCUUCAAAUGUAACAAUACACAUUAAAGUGCCAUUUUACGUCAAUCAGGCGGAAAUAUGAGGUAUAAAGUGGAUGCAAUCGACUCCGUGUUUCACAUGCCACUGUUCUCGACAAUUUAUCCUGUACUGACAAGCCCGUGUACCUGACGAGUAAAGAUGAAGACCGUUAUGUUGUUGUGUUUAUGUGCGGUGAUGAUGGCGAUGACUUGUGUUGCACAGGAAGAGACUGUUCGAGAGGGUAUAGAUAAGCUGGGAGAGGUGGUAAACGCCUGUGUCAGAGACUACUUAACACAGCUCGAAAUUCAAGAGAACCCUGUGAAAAGUAAAAAAUGUGGUGGCUCUUGGAAGGGAUUCGUGGAUUGUUAAAUAUAAAUUUUACGGCAGAUUAUACUAAUCACAAUGUUUACUACUACUAAGUUUAUGUAGAAAAGUAAAAUUAAUAGAAUCAUCAAAUUUACUUUCUUUUAUUGACAUUUGACCUAUUACUGUAGUCAACGGAUGACGUCAUUACAUAAAAAUAAGAUGGGGAAUGUGUCCACCUGGAAGCAAUGCAACGAACUUCCACAUGAUAUUAUGACUAAUAUGGUGAUACCGCAACAAAAUUACUGUAUUUCUCGGAUAAUAAUCGUAAAAAUAUCUAUAUUCCAACAGAAACAAUUUUCCCAAGGAAGAGAUCCUCUCGAGUCCCACUAUCUAUCAAUUCAUCUAUACAUCAACUACAAAGCUAUGUAAUUUACAUGUUGUUCAUAUCAGGAUUUACGUUACAUGUUAUUUCAUUAAAAUCUAGAUAUUACGAAUGA